rnacentral:rRNA from 1 species
CCUACGGGCGGCUGCAGUAGGGAAUAUUGGGCAAUGGACGGAAGUCUGACCCAGCCAUGCCGCGUGCAGGAAGAAGGUCCUCUGGAUUGUAAACUGCUUUAGACGGGGAAGAAUAAGGAUCAUGCGUGAUCUGAUGACGGUACCCGUAGAAUAAGCACCGGCUAACUACGUGCCAGCAGCCGCGGUAAUACGUAGGGUGCGAGCGUUGUCCGGAUUUAUUGGGUUUAAAGGGUGCGUAGGCGGGAGAGUAAGUUCGCUUUUAAAGCCGGCCGCUU